CUGGUGGUCCCACCUGCUUGCAAGUAAACUUUUAUUAUUUUAUCCAAAUUCUGUGUCUCUCUGUAUUUCUUUCCAUGACUUCCAAAACAUUUCGUUCCCUGACCAGGAAAUCAGGAAUGAAAUAGCCCUUUUGGGCCUUGGCCCAAACCCCACCAGAGGGAGCAACUCUCCAUCUCCUAGAGAGGAAAGGCGUGCCUCUGGGACUAAUUUCCUAGGCUCCCCAACAGGACACGGAGACCUGUUCACUGGUUGUGGAUCACCUGAACCUGAGACAGAGGACGACAGAAGGAGGGUUGCUGCUGCUGGUGUCUCAUCUUGUCUCUUUCCUUUGAAACAGGCCCUCCUCAUCCUAACUGCUUGAGCGUCAUGGAUGAGCUUCUGUCCAGCCACCCUGACCUACAAAUGACACCCUUGUCCGAUGCUGACCUCAUUCUGUUCAUGAGUGGGAGCAGCUUCAUGAAAAAUGGUGUUUCUCAUGCUGGAUAUGCAGUAAUCACAAAGGAUGAGGUGCUCCUAGGUGUGCCUCUUCCUAUCGGCUGGUCAACACAACGUGCUGAGCUCUGGGCACUCAUACAGGCAUUCCAAUGGGCAAAGGGUAAGAAGAUGAAUAUAUACACAGACUCUUGCUAUGCAUUUGCUACAUUGCACAUCCAUGGAAUGAUUUAUAGAGAACGAGGUCUUCUCACAGCAGAAAGCAAACAAAAAUAAAGAGGAAAUUGUACAGCUUCUAGAGGCAGUGUGAGAACCUAGCAAAAUCGCAGUAAUCCAUUGUUCAGGACAUCAUUACACAACCCAACAAUAAAGCAGACAUGGAAGCCAAGAAGGCUGCCAAACAGAAACUCCAAAUGGCUGUGCUAACAAGGACACAAGCUGCACAACAAAGUGCUCAAAAGCCAUAGAUUCCUAUAACAUAUUCAGACAAGGAAAGCAUCUGGGCUAAAGAACAGCUUGCAGGGCCGCGGAUUUAGCUCAGUGGUUUCACCGCCUGCUGCGCAAGCACAAGGACCAGAGUUUGAUACCUGGUACAAACAAAAAAAGAACAGCUUGCAGAGAAACAAGGAAACAUUUGGGUACUUCCAGGAGGGUGACUAGUUAUUCCUAAAGCUUCAUCCUAUUACUGGGUAAAGCAGUAUCAUAAGUUAACACAUGGAGAAAGACUGCACUACAAAAGCUACUAAAGAAGUAUUUUUAUAUCUCCCGUGUGGCUGCUCUAUGUGAACAUGUAUCUCAGAGAUGUCAGACCUGUCAAAAGAUAAAUCCUACAACAGGACCAAAACCACUCCCAGGGAUCCAAAGAACCAGUACUAGCUCCUUUAACGUCAUCCAAGUAGAUUUUACAGAAUUGCCACCUCAUACAGGCUACAAAUAUUUGUUAGUUUGCAUUUGUACAUACUCUGGACGGCCUGAAGCCUUCCCCACUCGAAGAGAAAAGGCUUCAGAAGUGUGUAAAGUAUUGUUAAGGGAGAUUAUUCCUCGUUUUGGCCUCCCACUUUCUAUGGGAAGUGACAAUGGACCAGCCUUUAUAGCAGAUACUUUGCAAACUUUAGUUAAUAUUACAUAUCAAAUGGUAUCUACAUACUGCAUACAGGCCACAAAUUUCUGAGAAAGUAGAAAGAAUGAAUAAAACUAUCAAAAGUACACUAACAAAGUAUUGCUCAACUACACAGGGACCAUGGAUAUGUUUGCUCCCUAUCGCUUUAUUAAAAAUAAGAAACACUCCAGGCCAUACGAGAUUCACGCCUUAUGAAAUGUUGUUUGGAAGACCUCCUUGUAUACUUAGGGACUUCACAGGCAAACUCGCACAAUUAGGGACCUCCACGAUGGAAAUGCAAAUGCUAGAAUUAGGAAAAGCAUACAACGACAUACAAGGUCAGUUAAGAACAAGGGAAAACCUACCUACUAUGACUCCUGCACACUUGAUUAAGCCUGGUGAUUUAAUCUAUGUUAAGAAUUGGAAAAAGACACCCCUACAACCUAUAUGGGAAGGACCAUAUGUUACGCUUAUCAUUACUCCCAUAGCUGUUAAAGGUGCCGAAAUCCAACUGUGGAUUCACCACUCUCAAGUGAAGAAACCCCACGCCAAGGCCGACACUGAAAGCCAAGAAAGACAAUGCACUCAAAGCCCUGCUCUCACCACGCCAGAGGCUGGUGAGUCAAGGCACAGCUGAAGAAUGGGAGCACCAACAAAGACGACAUGGACUAUUAUGCUAUGCCAAAUCUCCACUGCCCUAAGUUUCUUUGUUUUCGAACUGCCGGUGUUUAAGCCUAGUGAUGAAAAGUUUGAUGAACAAUAUGUGACUUUUAAAACAGUGAAAUGGGAACCGGAAGGCUAUCCAUUUACACUGUUCUUUAAUGCUUGCCCAAAUGAACAUUAUGGGGGAUCUGGGGCGGCUUCUGACUGUGGGGGCUAUUCUAAUGAGAAAUUACAUUCCAAAGAGAAAACACAAGUUUGGACCAACAGCACUCUUGUAGGACGAGCCAUUGGCAAUUGUGACCAUUGUAAACAAGGUCAAUGUAAUCCUAUAUCUAUGUAUAUGCCAGCCCCAUUGGAUCCUAUUUGGUAACAAAGAUAUCGAUCCACUGCUAAACAUGGACCCCAAAAGAUAAAAUGGUGGACACUGCAAAUUAAAAAGAUAUGGAAAACUGUUCCCCCGAAAUAAGAAAAACCCCUGCUCUCCGAGAAAUUUAAACUAUAUUAAAGGGGCAUCCUGGAAAUUAUACUGUCAUAGCUAUGACUGAUUUAAUUAAUAGCACCCACCAUAUACUAACAAUGAAAAAUUGGCAUCGGACUGUUGGUUAUGUGCCCCUUUAAAUUUGAUGACUUAUGAAGCCAUAGGAAUUUGCACCAACCUAACCCUUAAUACCACCAAGGAGGCUAUGCAUUCACUUCUGAAAUACCCCUCCAAGGUUACCGGAAAUGGUACAUGUUUCCUUGGGGGACAAAGGGACAAUGGGAUAAAGAACACUUGUACUAGUCUUAUUAAAGGAAAAAAACAAUUAUUUAGCACCUAA